rnacentral:rRNA from 1 species
UACGGAGGGUGCAAGCAUUGAUCGGAAUUACUGGGCGUAAAGGGCGCGCAGGCGGUCAGGAAAGUCAGAUGUGAAAUUCCGGGGCUCAACCCCGGAGCUGCAUUUGAAACUUCCUGUCUAGAGUUCAGUUAGGGAAAACGGAAUUCCACGUGUAGCGGUGAAAUGCGUAGAUAUGUGGAAGAACACCGGUGGUGAAGACGGUUUUCUGGGCUGAUACUGACGCUGAGGCGCGAAAGCAUGGGGAGCAAACAGG